rnacentral:rRNA from 1 species
CGGGGUGAGUAAUGUCUGGGAAACUGCCUGAUGGAGGGGGAUAACUACUGGAAACGGUAGCUAAUACCGCAUAACGUCGCAAGACCAAAGUGGGGGGACCUUCGGGCCUCAUGCCAUAAGAUGUGCCCAGAUGGGAUUAGCUAGUAGGUGGGGUAACGGCUCACCUAGGCGACGAUCCCUAGCUGGUCUGAGAGGAUGGCCAGCCACACUGGAACUGAGACACGGUCCAG